rnacentral:rRNA from 1 species
GACGAACGCUGGCGGCGUGCUUAACACAUGCAAGUCGAACGGAAAGGCCCUGCUUUUGUGGGGUGCUCGAGUGGCGAACGGGUGAGUAACACGUGAGUAACCUGCCCUUGACUUUGGGAUAACUUCAGGAAACUGGGGCUAAUACCGGAUAGGAGCUCCUGCUGCAUGGUGGGGGUUGGAAAGUUUCGGCGGUUGGGGAUGAACUCGCGGCUUAUCAGCUUGUUGGUGGGGUAGUGGCUUACCAAGGCUUUGACGGGUAGCCGGCCUGAGAGGGUGACCGGCCACAUUGGGACUGAGAUACGGCCCAGACUCCUACGGGAGGCAGCAGUGGGGAAUAUUGCACAAUGGGCGGAAGCCUGAUGCAGCAACGCCGCGUGCGGGAUGACGGCCUUCGGGUUGUAAACCGCUUUCGCCUGUGACGAAGCGUGAGUGACGGUAAUGGGUAAAGAAGCACCGGCUAACUACGU